GGCCUAACACAUGCAAGCCGUGCGGUAACAGGAAGAAGCUUGCUUCUUUGCUGACGAGCGGCGGACGGGUGAGUAAUGCCUGGGUAUCUGGCUGAUGGAGGGGGAUAACCGCUGGAAACGGUGGCUAAUACCGCAUGAUAUGGGCGCAAGCCUAUCAAAGUGGGGGAUCUUCGGACCUCGCGCCAACAGAUGAGCCCAGGUGGGAUUAGCUAGUAGGUGAGGUAAUGGCUCACCUAGGCGACGAUCCCUAGCUGGUCUGAGAGGAUGACCAGCCACACUGGGACUGAGACACGGCCCAGACUCCUACGGGAGGCAGCAGUGGGGAAUAUUGCACAAUGGGCGCAAGCCUGAUGCAGCCAUGCCGCGUGUGUGAAGAAGGCCUUCGGGUUGUAAAGCUC
rnacentral:rRNA from 1 species